GAUGAACGCUGGCGGCGUGCCUAAUACAUGCAGGUCGAGCGAACGGACGAGAAGCUUGCUUCUCUGAUGUUAGCGGCGGACGGGUGAGUAACACGUGGAUAACCUACCUAUAAGACUGGGAUAACUUCGGGAAACCGGAGCUAAUACCGGAUAAUAUUUUGAACCGCAUGGUUCAAAAGUGAAAGACGGUCUUGCUGUCACUUAUAGAUGGAUCCGCGCUGCAUUAGCUAGUUGGUAAGGUAACGGCUUACCAAGGCAACGAUGCAUAGCCGACCUGAGAGGGUGAUCGGCCACACGGGAACUGAGACACGGUCCAGACUCCUACGGGAGGCAGCAGUAGGGAAUCUUCCGCAAUGGGCGAAAGCCUGACGGAGCAACGCCGCGUGAGUGAUGAAGGUCUUCGGAUCGUAAAACUCUGUUAUUAGGGAAGAACAUAUGUGUAAGUAACUGUGCACAUCUUGACGGUACCUAAUCAGAAAGCCACGGCUAACUACGU
rnacentral:rRNA from 1 species